CGUAGGGGGUGCUACCAUGCAAGUCGAACGUGAUCCGCCCUUCGGGGUGGUGAAAGUGGCGCACGGGUGAGUAACGCGUGGAUAAUCUGCCCGAGGAUUUGGGAUAACAUCUCGAAAGGGGUGCUAAUACCGAAUAAGCCCACGGGGUCUACGGAUCUUGCGGGAAAAGGGGGGGACCUUCGGGCCUCCUGUCCUUGGAUGAGUCUGCGUACCAUUAGCUAGUUGGUGGGGUAAUGGCCUACCAAGGCGACGAUGGUUAGCUGGUCUGAGAGGAUGAUCAGCCACACUGGAACUGAGACACGGUCCAGACUCCUACGGGAGGCAGCAGUGGGGAAUUUUGCGCAAUGGGGGAAACCCUGACGCAGCAACGCCGCGUGGGUGAUGAAGGCCUUCGGGUCGUAAAGCUCUGUCUGGAGGGAAGAAAUGAUUGGGAGCUAAUACCUCUUGAUCUUGACGGUACCUCUGAAGGAAGCACCGGCUAACUCCGUGCCAGCAGCCGCGGUAAUACGGAGGGUGCAAGCGUUGUUCGGAAUUAUUGGGCGUAAAGCGCGUGUAGGCGGUCUUUUAAGUCUGAUGUGAAAGCCCCGGGCUCAACCUGGGAAGUGCAUUGGAAACUGGGAGGCUUGAGUACGGGAGAGGAGAGUGGAAUUCCUAGUGUAGGAGUGAAAUCCGUAGAUAUUAGGAGGAACACCGGUGGCGAAGGCGGCUCUCUGGACCGAUACUGACGCUGAGACGCGAAAGCGUGGGUAGCAAACAGGAUUAGAUACCCUGGUAGUCCACGCCGUAAACGAUGAGUACUAGUGUUGCGGGUAUUGACCCC
rnacentral:rRNA from 1 species